AUGUUACUCCCUCCGUCCGGAAAUACUUGUCAUCAAAAUGAAUAAAAAGGGAUGUAUCUAGAUGUAUAUUAGUUCUAGAUACAUCCCUUUUUAUGCAUUUUGAUGACAAGUAUUUUCGAACUGAUGACCUGAACC
rfam:Triticum urartu cultivar G1812 contig1153633, whole genome shotgun sequence.